GCCUGGCUGGCGCAAUUGGAUAGCGCAUAUGACUUCUAAUCAUAAGGUUGCGGGUUCGACCCCCGCGUCAGGUU
rfam:Zancudomyces culisetae strain COL-18-3 scaffold-1382, whole genome shotgun sequence.